rnacentral:rRNA from 1 species
UACGUAGGGGGCAAGCGUUGUCCGGAUUUAUUGGGCGUAAAGAGCGUGUAGGCGGCUUUACAGGUCCGUUGUGAAAACUCGAGGCUCAACCUCGAGACGCCGGUGGAAACCGUAAAGCUAGAGUCCGGAAGAGGAGAGUGGAAUUCCUGGUGUAGCGGUGAAAUGCGCAGAUAUCAGGAGGAACACCCGUGGCGAAAGCGGCUCUCUGGGACGGUACUGACGCUGAGACGCGAAAGCCAGGGGAGCAAACGGG